ACCACAGUGGACCGGGGCGGCAUGGCAGUCCUCUGAAAUCCUUCCCUAGCAUCUGGCAAGAUGGCUGGACCCCAGCUGACACUCCGCCUGCACUCCUGGGGAAAGGGGGGCCAGUGAUGAAAGGCGGCCACAUCACCUGAGGUGCAACCUGUGAGGCUGUAGCGGUGUGUGAGCCUGCCGAGAGAGGAGGAUCAGGGCGCGGUCCUCGUGGCGAAACCCCCUCCCUCUCAUCUUCUGAGGCCUCCCUUCCAAGAAACAGUACUACGUCAGGGUGUGGCUGCAACAACUUGGAAGGGCGACAGCAGCAGGAAGAAGAGAGAAGAUGAGUCGCUGCCCCAAAGGAGCCUCCAGUUUCCAUUUGGAAGGGGUUGAGCUGGACAUAGGAGCAGAGGGGGCGCUGGUUUAUGGAAGCAGCCGAGGCUAUGAACUUGAGUCAGGAUUGAAGAGUCAACGCAAUGUUUUUCCCCCACCCCUUUUUGUCAUCAUCCCACAGCAUACACAGAAUUUGUGACAAGUUCUUAUGCAGGAAUCCACAACAUCAACAGAGAAGCCAGGGAAAUUGAUUGCAAGACAUUUUGAAGCAUAGCCCAAC